UACGAACAUAAUGUUUGAGCCCUUGCCUCGUCGCAACGCUAGUACGCCAGCCGAAGACACAGACGUCCAACCCCGUGAACACUGGAACGUAACUCAAUGGUGGAGCUUUCCCAUGACCAAGAGAUGAACGCUAAACUUGAUAGUUUUUUUCCUCCUCCUUCCUGCCUGCACUGUGCUAAGAAAGUCAGUAUACAACAAAACAAAGGAUUGCAUUUCACAGAUUUCUUUAUUACAAUUACUGGGAGAAAUGAUGUAUGAAUUGUACAAUACAAUAUAUAAUAAAUAAUAUCAUUUAGUACAAUAAGAUGAUAUCAUGAAUAUGAUGUACAUUUCAAACAUGACAGAUUUGUACAAAUAAACAUCAAUUCAAUCUA